rnacentral:lncRNA from 1 species
GGGUUUAAAGACAAUAAGUCCAAAUAUCCCAGUCUUAAGGGUUGUUCUGAACUCCCAGGUCCAAUAUAUUUUGCCACUGAAACUUGUAGUUGUGUAUUUAUGUCGACCCCAACAUGAUUCUUUUGUUUGAAUAUUUCACUUGGCUAUGCAGGACGUGAAUUCAACAUGCCUUCAUACAUCUUCUUUUGAUGGCCGCCAUCGAAGCUGUUGAGGCUAAUAUUGACGCGAUGGGGAAAAGCUACCUAGACAAAGCUAUUAUGUGUUUUCUUAGUUUUAAAGUUGUUGCAGAAGAAGGUAAUGAGAGGUUCAGUGACAUGGUCCAUUAAGUUAGCUUCAUACCUUCAUGUGUGGCAUCUCCUCUUUUUUUAAAGGGGGUACCUUUGUCUUUAAUAAAAUUGACAUCAAAGUCCUGACAAUGGCUAUUCGUUUUGCAUAAAGAUCAUUAAAGAUGAGUACAGCUGUCUGUGAGUUGCAGUUUCUUAUCCGAGCAGUCUAAUAUUCAUAUUGUUUGAAAUUGUAGUCACUGAAGUUCUCGCUCUCCUUAAACAGUAAUUCAG